ensembl:snRNA U4 U4 spliceosomal RNA
AGCUUUGCGCAGUGGCAGUAUCGUAGCCAAUGAGGUUUAUCCGAGGCGCGAUUAUUGCUAAUUGGAAGAUUAAAAUACAAUUGAAUCACUUGUGUGGUUGAUUUUUCAAAUAAUUUUAGAUCAUUUUGCUGAGGA